CCUACGGGUGGCAGCAGUGGGGAAUAUUGCACAAUGGAGGAAACCCUGAUGCAGCGACGCCGCGUGAGCGAUGAAGUAUUUCGGUAUGUAAAGCUCUAUCAGCAGGGAAGAAGAUGACGGUACCUGACUCAGAAGCCCCGGCUAACUACGUGUCAGCAGCGGCGGUACUACGUAGGGGGCCAGCGUUAUCCGGAUGUACUGGGGGUAAAGGGAGCGUAGACGGCGAUGCAAGCCAGAUGUGAAAGCCCGGGGCUCAACCCCGGCACUGCAGUUGGAACUGUGUGGCUGGAGUGUCGGAGAGGUAGGCGGAAUUCGUAGUGUAGCGGUGAAAUGCGUAGAUAUUAGGAGGAACACCAGUGGCGAAGGCGACCUGCUGGACGAUGACUGACGUUGAGGCUCGAAAGCGUGGGGAGCAAACAGGAUUAGAUACCCGAGUAGUC
rnacentral:rRNA from 1 species